rnacentral:rRNA from 1 species
UCGAGGAUCUUCGGCAAUGGGCGCAAGCCUGACCGAGCGACGCCGCGUGUGGGAUGAAGGCCUUCGGGUUGUAAACCACUGUCAACGGGGAGGAAAUGCAGGGGGGUUAUCCCCUCUGUUUGACCUAUCUGUGGAGGAAGUACGGGCUAAGUUCGUGCCAGCAGCCGCGGUAAGACGAACCGUACGACCGUUAUUCGGAAUUACUGGGCUUAAAGGGUGCGUAGGCUGCGCGAACAGUUGGGUGUGAAA